CCUCAGUAGAAAGUGUCAGCAAAUAUUUUCAAAGUGAGACCGUUGUGAAGUGUGAAUCGUGACGUCACUGCACCAAGAUGGCGGGCCGCGGGAGUGGUACCGCAGGCAAGGGACGACCAUUGAAUAUAGACUUUUGCGUGUUUACCUGACGAGUUACAAGGCCGUGUCGCUUCGCGGUAGAUCAGUAGGUGCUUACGGUGUGCGUCAGAGUGCUGCAGUGUGGGGAGAGGCGCAGCAGAGGCCUCAGGAGUCAGAGAGAAAAGUUGACUCGGCUGGCUGGUGAGGAACACCGAAAAGUGUCACCCCGACGAAGGUUAUUGCCAUCACCGCGAGAGGGAGAAGACAGAACGCUACCCACACACCGGCAAGGAGUGUGGAUGGAGGAAGCACCAAGAAGGGGUGACCAGGACGACGGUGACCUGUGGAUUUGUGAAGAUUGACACAACCGGCGGAGUGAGAAGGAGGAGGAAGAGGAGGCGGAACACGAGGACGAGGAGGAAGAAGACAUUAGGGAAGAGAGGGAAUGAGAUUGAGGUUGAGAAGGAACGUCGUGGUUGUGAUGGUGAUGGUAGUGAUGGUGAUGGUGAGGCGGUGAAAAGAAUGAAAAAGAUGAAGAUAGUGAAGAAUUGGACAAGAGCGGAAAGUAAGAAGAUGCGAAAUGAAGAAGGUGACGAAGUUAAGAAGACGAUGGUGGUGAUAGUGGUGGUGAGGGUGGGCGUGGUAAUGCUGAUGGUGUUACGAGCAAGGAAUAAUAAAAAUAAUAAAAUGAGAAAGGAGACGGGAGAUAAUGCAAAUGAGAAAGUGUUACCAGCAAAAAAAAAGAAAAUCUGUUGAA